UACGUAGGGUGCAAGCGUUGUCCGGAAUUAUUGGGCGUAAAGGGCUCGUAGGCGGUCUGUCGCGUCGGGAGUGAAAACUCAGGGCUUAACCCUGAGCCUGCUUCCGAUACGGGCAGACUAGAGGUAGGUAGGGGAGAUCGGAAUUCCUGGUGUAGCGGUGAAAUGCGCAGAUAUCAGGAGGAACACCGGUGGCGAAGGCGGAUCUCUGGGCCUUACCUGACGCUCAGGUGCGAAAGCUAGGGGAGCGAACAGG
rnacentral:rRNA from 1 species